CUCACUUCAUUUUACUUUGGAAACUUUUAGAUUAAUUUAGCCAAGGUCUGUUUUUUUUCCUUCUUCAUUGCAAGAUAUCGGUACCUCAUAACGAGUCAGACAAGAUUGCACGAGGCGGUCUUGACAAAAUGACCCUUAUUGAGGUUGGUGAUUGGUCCAAGGUUUUGUUUAAAUCCAACCCAUUCUACGUAUCUCGAAACCAGAUUCGAGCUUUGGAGAAAAGAAAUAAAGCUGGGAAAAUUUGCUAAGAAGAUCAAAGCAACAACGAGGAGAAAAAUGCAUGAGCUCGCAAACCCAUUGGAGCCUGAUGAAUUUGCUGAGAUAAAACUUUUGUUUUGUUGUAGUUGUUAUAAACUUCUAAAUUCACAGAAUCAACACAAUUUUGUCUUUACUCCCAUUUUAAUCGAUAAAAAGAUGAGAUUCUUUUCUUACAUAUUAACAACACAGAGUUAUGCAAGUAAAGACUGGAUCUUUAUUCUCUUUGCGAUGUUCAAGAAGAAGCAAAGCAAUUUGAUAUCUUAAUCGUCGUCAUAGGGCUAAUUACAUAAACAAGAGUACGUAAAAAAAA